AUUUUUGGCGACAAAAAGAGUGAAAAGAGUGAAUGCGAUGAUAAAGGUGACAACUAUCAAGAUGUCCGUAACCAUAAGAAAGACAUGAGUAAAAACCAGACGAAGGACUAGAUACAAAAGACUAGCUGAGUAGAACACAUGGGAAGUCAAUACAUGGACUGCUUCGUCAGAGUAAUAAAACAACAAAUCAGGACAAGCUUAAAGCUCUACUUGUAUCCAGUCUUUAUAAUCAAGUGUAAACUCAUUCUUCUUCUCUUAGACUUCUUUUGUUUUUUUUAAAUACUUAUAUUAUCUCUGUCUGUCAGUCUGUCUGUCUGUCUGGUACAUAUUUUUGAACACGUUAUUUCUCCAACUACCCAUUCUCAGUUCAAAUUGAAACUGCUCAUUCAUUGUUUCUGUUACUCCUGUUAUUCCUGUUAUAUUUUUAUUUUUACUAAGACUUAAGUUUUAUGCAAAUUAAAGGCAUUCAAAUAUCCAUUUUAAAAAAAAAUUCUUGUGGUUAAAUUCAUCAUUGUGCUAGCGGAUUGUUCUGAUUUUAAAGGCUGAAUGGAUCAUAAUGAAAUCACGAGGUGGUGUUUUGUAAUUGAAGUUGAAUAGAGAUGAGACUUAAUGAACAAUUGAAACUGGAAGAACGUGUUUUUUGUUUUUUUUUGUGGGUUAGAUUUUGUUUAAAUUAUCAUUUCAUUUGUGGUUCUACGUAUAUCUACAGUAUAUACUUUUAAUAAUUGUAGUAUCUCCUCAAAUCUACACUCUUCACAUGCUUAAAUUCUCUCCCUUGUUUUUUUUACAUUUAUUAAUUAAAAUCUUUCUCUCUUUUUUUAAAGUAUAUGGAUAUCUUUAUUGUAAUUUAUAGUUAAGAAAGUCGUAUAUUUAUUUAGAAGAAAAUUACAAUAAUUGGUUUACCAUUACUCACCAUUGUGUUAUAUCCUUUCAUGAAACUGUGUCUUUGACUUUUGAAAUCAACCACUUCAUUAAAAAUGUUACACAUCCAACUAGAAACCAAAGGUUUAAGUUUAUUACGUUCGAACCAUUAAUCUUGUUGCUUUUGUAAACCAUUUUUAGACCGAAAUUUCUGAUGAUUUAGUCCUGUAAAAAGAAAUGAAACAUAUCUACACGAUAUGAAGAAGAGUCAUUUAAUAUCGGUGAAAACUGGGACUUUGAAUUUGGGGAUUUUGGUACACACCUGACUUCACAAAAAUAUAAUGGAUAUCUGAUAUUAGUUAGGAAGGUUAUUAGGGUUGGUGAUUGUGUUGUACACAUAACACCCUCGUAACAGUCGGUCAUAGAAACAGACGAAACAAACAUGUAUUUCUUUUAUUGUCUACCCUAUAGACCGCACGAUCUGAAUUGGGUUCUUCACUUUUUAAAAUUUAUUGAGGUCAAUCGGUCGCAUGUUAAUUUAUGACACAUUUUGAUGACCAUUUCAUGUGUUGCAUUGUGAAGGUAAAAUCUGCCGCCUAUUAAAUAUUCUAUAAAAAAAAGGUAUACAUGUAUAUGUUUAAGCCCGUCUCAGGCGGAGUUAUGUUUGCUAAAAGCUAAUGGCAGAACGGAAAAUGUUUCAAUAUACCCCUGCCCAAAUGGACCAUAAUGCAGUAAUCAUGUAAGAUAUGCUAAAAAUAAAAAAAAAGAAAGCAAUUCUAAGAUAACAUAAACAAAUAGUUGAUAUAGAAAAAUGUCAAAAGCAUAAUAAAAUUUUAUUCUUAGAAUUGUUUGCGAAAAUUUUUGGGACCAAAUAAAACGUUAGAUAAUAAAAAUUCGGAGUUAUUUUGUUAUUAAUAGACAAAAUAAGCUCUGCCAGAUUUCACUAUUUAUAUUCAAGUUAUGGUAGUGUGUACCUACCCGUGCAGAUAAGUGAACACACACUUUUAUAUGAUAUAUAUUAAUGAUUUGGUAAAUGUAUAAAGGAUACCGCAUAAAACUUCAUAUUUUUUUAUUUUUAUGUGUUUGAAAAUCUCUGGUAAGGGAAAGAAUCGCACUGUGCACUGUGCACCAAUUUACAAAGUGCACAUCAUGCGUACCAGUACCCCGUUCAGAACAGUGGCGAAGAACGUGGUCGUUAAAACUAGAGAAAACUAUUUCCCGCCCAAGUGUCAAAGCAGAAGAGAAAUAGAAUUAAAUGUCAGAGAACUGUUAUGUGUAUUUUAUUUAAUCAUAUCAUUUUCAUUUUUGUAAAUAAAUAUCCACUUGUAUUGCCUUCUUAUUGAGUUACACACAUUAAUAUACAACAGAUUUUCUGUUGGACAGUUGGAACACGACACGAGAUCACACAACCAUCUCUCGCCAUUCCUCUCUGUCUGUACGCUUUUAUACUCAGAUCGUGAGUGAUGGAAAAAGACUUUUAACUCUUUCUCUCCGUAAUUAU